rnacentral:lncRNA from 10 species
UGGCAGCCCGCGUCCCUGUGUGAAGCCGUCUGCAGCAGCUGCCAGAGCCCUGCUUGCUGUUUCCUUUCUCACCACCCACCUCACCCGGAAAUCCCCUGGUGAUUUCAAGACCUGACCUCUGCACCCUUUUGCUCCCCACCUGUCCCAAAAAAGUGGAGCUAUAACUGUGGGAAAAGGGGAUCUGAAGUCAGACACAGGAUCCACAGUAGCCUGGGGACCUUUCUCACCCCCGCCCUUAAGCAGGCCCCAACAUAACCGGCUGAGAAACCUCCUCUGCCAGAUCCUGACCUGAGCCAGGAGGCGGCCAGGAAACUGGAUUUUGGGACUGGGAUUUCAGAGAGGAAGCUGGAGAGCUGCAGGGUGGUCAUCUGUCACUUUAUUUUGCCCGUCUUGUAGCAUUCUCGAAAAGGCACUCUGUCACGUGUACACAGGAAAGGGCCCUGACAAGAGGAUGGGACUGCAGUUGUGGCUGCCAGGGCCCCGGCCAGGGUGAAAACAAGGAACAUUCCAGAGAAGAUCACAAGGAUGCGAAUAAAAUCGGAGCUGCACAGGGAUCUUUGGGCUGUAAUAGGAGGGGACACACAGGGGUUGGAGUGCAGUGGCACGAUCUCGGCUCAGUGCAACCUCCGCCUCCUGAGUUCAAGUGAUUCUCCUGCCUCAGCCUCCCUAGUAGCUGGGAUUACAGGACAAGGAGAGGGACAAAUUCCUUCUUGGCAUCCUUAUGGCCCUGUGACCUGCUAAUGAAUGCUGACUCUGAGUUGCUACUAGAAUUUGGUUUCCUUGUGGCUUCCCAGGAAUUGGUCUCACUCUGCUCACUCUGUCUCCCAAGCUGGAGUGCAGUGGUACAGUCACGGCUCACUGCAGCCUCCACUUCCUGGACUCAAGUGAUCUUCUCACUUCAGCCUUCUGAGUAGCUGGGACUACAGCCCCCUCUGCAGCUCUUCAUGGGGGUCCACUCAAGUCAGAAGCCACAUUUGGGUGUGAUUCAGAGAGCUGUUUAUGCAAAACCAGCUUUGUCACCAUCAGGCAAGGCACCUGAAUUCCCACCGCAGAGAGUGUUGUGGCCGUGAGGACUUUUCUGUCACCAGCCAUUUCCAGGUAGACCCAGUGUAAUCACAAGCAUCCUUGUAAGUGGCAAAGAGGCAGAGGAGACAGCGCCAGAGAGGCAGCUGCAUGAGAAGGAUCAAGAUGUUGCUGACUUUGAAGUUGGAAGAAGAAGGCCAUGAGCCUCAGUAUGUGGGCGGCUUCUAGAAGCUGGAAGGGGCAAGGAGAUGGAUUUGACCCUUCAGCCUCCAGGGGCAGCUGUACCUGCCAUCACUGAUUGUAGCCUGGUGAGGCCUGUUUUAGACUUCUGACCUGUAGAGCUGUAACAUAAUACAUUUGGGUUGUUUUCAACCACUAAGUUUGUGGUAAUUUGUUGUAGCAGCUGUAGAAAAUGAAUACAUAUGAAUCCUCUGGCAUUUGUUUGAGAUUUGCUCUAUGGCCUAGUAUGUGGUUGUAAAUGUUCCAUCUGUGCCUGAAAAAAUGUAUAUUUCUAAUUCAGUAGUCUCUGCUUUUUUUUUUUAUUUUGUACCCCAUCAAUAAAAUGAUUUUCAGCAUGUAUCCCCAAAUAAACAAUAUUUUAUUUAUUGAUUGAUUGAUAAACAGACAUGUUUAAUGAUAGCUUGCUUUUCACAGAGGUGACUUCGGAGACUUCUAAUCUAUAAUCCAGGAGUAUAUAACCAUG